GCGCCGGUGGUGUAAAGGCGUAGAGCAUUCCCGCCCGGUCAGAGAGAAGUGUGGGUUCGAGUCCCGCCUGGCGCU
rfam:Heligmosomoides polygyrus genome assembly, scaffold: HPBE_scaffold0001135